rnacentral:rRNA from 1 species
UGUAAGCGUAUACCAAAGUUGUUGCAGUUAAAACGCUCGUAGUCGGAAUUUGGCAGUUCCGGAAGUGUGCACGUCGUGUGCGCACUUUGCGGGGACUGCUUUUGUGGUCUUGCGUAGGAUGAGGCACUUUCAUUAGUGAACGUCCUCACGCAACCACUCUUUACUGUGAGAAAAUCAGAGUGCUCAAAGCAGGCAUUUGCCGUGAAUGUAUUAGCAUGGAAUAAUAGAAUAGGACUCGGUUCUAUUUUGUUGGUUUGUUGGGACUGAGUAAUGAUUAAGAGGGACAGUUGGUGGCAUUUGUAUUCCGGCGCUAGAGGUGAAAUUCUUAGAUUGCCGGAAGACAAACUGCUGCGAAAGCGUCUGCCAAGGAUGUUUUCAUUGA